UAUUCUGCGACCUGAAGCCAGCAAAUAUCUUGUGGAGGUUUUGCAGUCCGUCAGUCCAUCUGAACUGGAUGACGUCAUAGAAAAACUCCUGGAUUCAGUGGAAAAACAGCCACUGUCCUCUACUAUGAUCGAGCUGUCUGUGGUGGAAAGUGCUGUUCAGGACUGCACUCAGUCUUGUGAUGAAACCAUAGAUCAUGUUUUCAACAUCAU